UACGAAGGGGGCUAGCGUUGUUCGGAAUCACUGGGCGUAAAGCGCACGUAGGCGGAUCUUUAAGUCAGGGGUGAAAUCCCGAGGCUCAACCUCGGAACUGCCUUUGAUACUGGGGAUCUCGAGUCCGGGAGAGGUGAGUGGAACUGCGAGUGUAGAGGUGAAAUUCGUAGAUAUUCGCAAGAACACCAGUGGCGAAGGCGGCUCACUGGCCCGAUACUGACGCUGAGGCACGAAAGCGUGGGGAGCAAACAGGG
rnacentral:rRNA from 1 species